GCGGCCUCGCUGCGCUGCUCCGGGCCGGGCCGCCGCGGCCUGCCCAGCCCCGGGCUCGCCUGCGGAGCUCCGCCGGCCUGGGUGGCGGCUGCGGGGAGCCCCGCAACCGGGGGGGGGGGGAGGCGGCCGGGAGAGGCCCUGUGGGGACGGAGGGGCCCGGCUGGGGGCUGGGAGGCCGUGGUGGGGUAGGGGCGGCUCCCCCAGCGUGGUGGGGCCGGGGGAGGCCCGGCGGGGGGAGGUUGGUAGGGCCGGGGGGUGCUGCCGGGCAGGGCUGGCGCGGUGCUGUGGCCGCAGCAGGUGCUCGGGGGCUGGCCUGGCGCUGGGCGUGCAGCCACCAGGAGCCCCAGAAGGCUGAGGUCGGGAUCCCGGCGGGGAGAGUUGGCUCCUGUGCUGGAGGAGACAAAGGAAAUGACAGCUCGCCCCUCGGGAGGAGCCCUGGCUACCUGUGUAGGAGCACGAUAAGCUGUCCUGGAGGUUUUUGUCAGCAGGAGGUUAUUUGUUUUGGGAGGGAUUACAGACAAGGAAAUAUGAUUUUAUUUUUUUUUUUUCCAUGGAUUAGGUUACAGAGCUGUGUAUGGAUCAGAAGAGCUGUAAUCAGUGCUUGGUUUGGAGAUGGGAUUGAAGGGACAAGUCCAUCUGGGCAUCCCAGAGCGUGUGGAUGUGUGGGGAAAGGGCAGGAGAGCAAGAAACUGAAAUUGAAGCUGGUCAUGCUGGAGGAGGGCUGGGGAGAGAUGCACAGAGCCUUGAAGGAUAGGUGCUUACCCGGGCAUGGCGCUAUGCCAGAGCUCUCUCUUUUUUUUUUUUUCUUUUUUCUUUUUAGAGAGCAGAUGAGUUUCCCUGGGAAAGUACUGUUAGAAAAGGGCAAUCAUGUAUUCUUAAUUAUGCAUAUCUAGGGAAUUGUGUGGGCUUUUUUUUUUCUUGGUGCCGUUACACAAGAAAGUGCUAAUAAUCUAUGGGGAUUUCGGUCUACCUUGUCAAAGUGUUAAUGAUGGAGGUGCUUGGAUUUUUUUUAUUUUUUACUUAUAUUUUUCUCCAUUAAGGUCAAUAAUUGCAUGGUCGUCCUGUGAGAGCACUAGGGGGAAGGUGAAUUUACUUGCUGUCGUGACUGUAAGGUUGCUCUUGGUAUGGGUUACUCGUGUGCUUUGUGGCAAAUAACCAUUGUUUAUUGUUCUUUAGCCUUUUCUUGUGAGAGCUACAGAACAGCUUGCGACGAUUUUUCUUCUUGGCUCUUGCAGAGAAUCUGGCUGUAGGUGUGCAGUGGAACUGAGCAAAUGUUUGCUGCUUCUUGACCAGGAAAGGUAGUUGUAUGUUAGCUGUGUGUUAGAAGUUACAAGUUGGAUAGAAUUUUGUUCUUGCUGUUGUUUAAAAAGACACAAAGGUGCGAGUAAAACUUAGUAAUUUGGUAGGUUGAUGAAGUCUGUCUUGUAAGAGGUAUGGGUUGCUGUCCUUCUCAUGUCUUUCAUCUGUGGAAAGAUGAGGAUACUGUAAAUAAGACCCAUGGUUGGGAGGGAAGUGGCUGGAAGUUGGAUGGAUUCUGAAAGUUGUUGCUGUGUCCUCGCACUGAUGAACUUAGAGCUUCUAAAAUGGCUCCUCUCCCCCAUCCUUUGGCAGUGAUAGGCCCAGUUUUUGGUUUUCUUUUCAUCCACUUUUAUCACUCUACUGCAGUUCUCAAGCCUGACGGGCUUUUUUUUUCUUUUGUGUAACUUGCAAAAAGUGUGCCUUGAAACUUCUCCGUUGUGUUUUAAUAUGGAGAAAAAGUAGAAGUGAUUUAUUCAGUGUUUUUGGCCGUCCGCAUUGAAUUUAUUGCUCAGAGGAGCAAUGUAAUUUCUGUUUUAAGGUUACAUGUGACAAACCAGCACUGGAUUAGUAUGGCCCUUCAAGAAAAAGUUACAGCUUUUGUAUAAUUACUGACAUUGGUUGUAAAUACUGUGCGCAUUCUUUACCUGUGCAAGACGCAUUGGCUACAUUUUUUUGUUGUUGAAAGCAAGUAUAAAAGAGUCUCAUUAAAAAAAUAAUAAUGAAACAAUGUGAGAGGAAUAUUAUAUUAGAAUAUAUAUUCAAUUCUAAAGCCCAUACUGAAAUGAAAAUGGUACCAAAAGAGAGGUAGAGUAACACAAAGAAAGAGGAGAAGAAUGGAUGUUGGGUCCUACCCUGUUUUUGUACUUUGGCUUAGUAUAGAAGUUAAUAACCCUCUAAUUCUUUUGUAUGGGGUAAUAGAGUUUCCAUAUGAUAACAAUCGCAAAAGGCUAAGUGCAGAGUCCUCUGGCUGCUCAUGUGGCUUGGUGCACUGUGCUGUUAACUCUUAGCUGAUUGUGGCAACCUCUGCUGCAAGUAGGUGUGUGCUCAUUGAUCCUGGUCAAGGUGGCUUUUUUGUGGAUUUCUUUUAUUAACAUGUGUCAUCUAGGUGAUAUGACUGGAAUGGUAAUGCCUGAUUUGUAAAAUAAAUAAAUAAAUAAAAUAAUAAAUCAUAUUUUUAAGGUGGGCAGCUUCCUUGGGCUUAUUUCAGAUCUGGAUGCUUGCCAUCUCUGAAAAUAAGGUUACCAAAUAAAAUGUUUUGACAUAGUUUUUCCCUGUCAGAUUGUUUGGGGUUUGAUGUCUCUCCUUCUUAUAUCUGGAAGAUGCUUCAGUGAGGGAGCUGCUACUACAUAAAGCGCUAAUUCUUCAAGACUUAAUUUGCAUAUCCUUGCUGUUAUUAUUUGCAAAUUAUUGAACUCUCCUUACCGCACUAGUGAACUUAAACUGUUCGUACGCUCAGGCUGGUAAAUAGUAACCGCUGAUAUUCUGUGAUAAGGGAAACCCUUAGUGGCAUGGUCUGUUGAACACUAGAAGAAAAAAUCACCAGCCAGGUGAUCGGAGUCACUUUUUCUUACUCCUGUGCUCAGGCCAGUAAAAAUGCUGUCUCUUUUUUGUGGUCAGAGUCAGAUGGCAGCUGUCAGCGCAGAGAAGCGCUCAGCUGCAUGCAGGAGGUUGGAAGACAUUGCCAUCUUGGGUUUAGUACCACUGGCAGCACCGGGGGCUGUGCUGCUGCCUCGUACCAGUACCGUGGGAUCCUCCCGACAGGAGCAGAGAUCUUGCUGUCGCUGUACUUCUCACUUGCCUCAGAGGUUGGCCACUGCCAGUGGAGGGGUCUGGAAUGUCACAUAGACGAUGAACUAACGAAACUUAAGCCUUAGCCACUUACUAUGGUUCUAGUUAUUUUCCUUACACAUAUCACUUUUAAAAUGAAGUUGAAGUAUCUAAAUAUGCUAUUACUCAUCUCAAAAGCUAGGUGUGGUUGGUAAGGGACUGAUUUUGAGCACUGCAGUUUAGCUCUGUGUUGUUGAUGUAACUGUCAAAAGUUAAACUCUUGUCUCUUGGGUACUAACUGCAGAAUUGCUGGUACUUUCCAAGAGCCCCCAAAUUCCUUCCCUUUCAUUUUGCUUGCUUUUAAUUUAGCAUGCUAUUUAACAGUUAUUAAACAAACAUGUUCAAUUGAAAAAAAAAAUCAACACAAAUGAACACAUCUCUUUUUCAGUUGUAGAUUUUUCUGUUUGUUCAGUGGACCCAUCUGGAAUUUGGCUUCAGAAGUGAGGCAGACACCUCGAACAUACACCUCUUAGAAUUUCUGAGGAAGUUUUGAUCAGCUCGGCAGCACUGGAAAAUAAAAAUUCUCUGCCCGGUUUUAUUGCUUCUUGGCCAGUUCACCACCAUCAUUGACAAGAUGGCCUUCCGAAAUGUUUUCUGUCCUUUCUGGCCUGCUGCCUCAAGAUGCUUAGCUGCUUUCCCAUAGCCCUUUGUGGGUGGAGCGGAUUCCCACUGCGGAACUAGUUUGUGUGUGCUCCCUUGGAAGUGAUUGAGGAAGGAAUUUUGUUUUAAAACUUUUAAGAAGCUAAAACAAACAAUGUCUCCCAGCGUGGGAGUGGACCAGAUCCCAUUGGCUUCAUAACGGGAGAUGGUUGAAUGGCAGGCUUUCGCUGCAGGCACUUUAUUAAAAAAUUCUUCUAAGAUGUGAAGUUUUCUAUAUUAGAUAUAUAUAUAUGUAUGUAUAUAAUUCUGUUUAAAUAAAGGUUUGUAUUUAAAACAAAAA